rnacentral:lncRNA from 1 species
UUAGGAACCCAUUAAGCAUAGAAGAACAAUUUAAACAACCAAGCAUGUAUCUAAUCCCUGUUGUCGAAUGUCCAUACAUACUUUUCUUAUUCACAGUUCAAUUCAAAUCAAAGCAUGGUGUCUACUCUUGAUUCAAACCAAGGUAGCUAAUAUACAAGUUCUAAUGGUGAUCAAUCAUCCAAACAAGCAUAUUAACUGAUAAGCAUAAAGAAUAGGAAUAUGAAUCAUGAAUCAAACUUGAAACUCAAAACUUCAACUUAUAAACCCAGAAUAUUCAUGUUAGGUUACAUCAUAGCCCUAGUUAUGAAUUUAGCUACUCAUAAUGGAAAUGAAACUUAAGCAAAAAUGAGAAAACAUAUUGAAUGCAAUAAGAGUAGAGAAACCCAAUUCUGAAGUUGCUUGUGGUUUCCAAGGCUUUUCCAGGUGCUUCUCCACGUCUAAUGCUACUCCAAGAACUUUCUCAUGUCUAGAGUAUGGCAACUAAAGAGGUGAUUUGGGAUGAGUUUGGGUGGUUGGUGAUGGCAGAGAAAGAACAAAUUCGUAGGAAAUGGAAGGAAGGCUUGUUGGAGUUCUUCCCCAUGAUUUUGGGCUGAAUCAAGUGAUAUAAGAUGGCUGGAGUGAAUUCUUGGUCAAUAGAGUGACUCCUUUGCACUUGAGUAGCUGACACACCUCCCUAAAUUGCUCAACAUGUCAGGUCUAAAGUCAAGGAAAGCUGUGGUGAGUCACAUGGCUCAAAGAAAGUAUCCAAGGCUCAAAGAAAGUAUCCAAGGCUCAACAACUGGAAACUGCAAUCCUGAGCCUGGUGUGUAUAUGGGCUCACGAAUUGGGCUCAACUUCAUUAUCUGAUGCAUUUGAGUAGUCCAUCUUGAAGUUCAGACUCUCAUCUUUCCAACUACAUAUUAGUUGGGCCAAUCCAAGUUCGGAGAAAGAUGUUAAGCCCAAAAUGAGUUGCUAACCCAGUCUGCUCGUUUUUGCACCAUUUUGCAUCUUUUCUUAUCCAAAGACACCAUUGCUACCUAAGGCCCAAUGAACUGAAUGAUAAACAGAAAAGGGAUUAAAAGCACACGUUUGACUCAAUAACAUAACCAAAUCAUAAGCUAGAAGGGUACAAAAUGAUAUACAAUUGUGAACUGAUCAAAUACCCCCAGACCUAGAUUUUGCUAGUCCUCGAGCAAAACAAAAGAGAAUAAAGUUGAAAACAAAACAAGAAGUUAACUAAACCACUUCUGUAGGUAACUCGAUUGCAAUGUGCAUAUGCAACAAGCCUUUAAACCUCUCGGCAUCCCUAAUCGGAAGAGUUGUGUCUCCUGAGGGUUUAACAGAAACGAUACCCACAAACACUUUACUGACUCUCUAACACCAAAAGGUUAGAAAACUAACUUUGAAAACAACUAAUGAAAGAAAACAUUAAUCAUGCAUCCAACACCAUAGAGUUACCAAGAUAGAUGAUCAAUAAGUGUGUAAAGUGGAAGCUAUAGCUCAAAGGCACACGGCUUCAAAGUAAACAUACUCAAAUCUUGAAGGAAGAACAUGCUUCAACUCUAAUUCUCACAUCUAGCACUCCAUCACUCAGAACCUAUGGUUUUAUUCUCUCAAACAAGCAUAAGUGAGUAUAUGAAAUAGAAGCACAAUAUUUGGUUAGAUCUCAUGAAGGGAAUCAAAUACUAAGAGUAGAGAUACACACAUACAUACCAGCACCCAUGAAUACAUCCUCAAAGAUCAGCUAGGUCUUUCACAAGGUUGUAAUGAAAGGCUAAGGUUAAGGGAAGUGGAAGAAUUGGAAGGAACAUAACUAACUUAAGAACAUACCAAGGUUGCAUUCUUCAUUGAUCUGCAAGGUAUCAUUGAUUUAGAAUGGUAUGGCUGCAACUUCAUAGCAUCAUCUGGCAUAGACUUUAUAUUUCACAUUUAGAUCAAAUCGAAACACUUUCUCUUUAUCUUUUUUUUUUUUUUUUUUUUUUUGACUUGAUCUACUUCUUCUUUAACUUUAUUGCAUAGAUUCACACCAAUUUACAUUUGGGCAUGUGGCAGCAAUUUACAUUUGGGCAUGUGGCAACAACCUCCUUGCUUCAAACUUUAUCUUGGCACACCUUGGUAUAUUUCUAAGCUAUAGGGUAUGGCUAUAAUAGGUUAAAUAUCUCUGAUUGAGAUACAAAGUUAGGGGAAUUAUGAGGGUGAUAGAAGAAAAAGGCUUGUAGUGUUUGGCUGCAAGAGAGCUGAUGGAACACACGAAUGGGUAGGGUGAAAAGAAAGCACAGAAAAUGGUUAUACACGCAGAGCCUAGCAUCACUUCAAUGAGUUCAUUCAUGGGUGAGAGCACGCACCUAAUAUCUGCAAAGAGAAUCAUCCUUAGUAUUCAACCAAAAUGGAACAAUGAGAUCAUUUAGAGUGAAUUGAAGAAAAUAAGUAGAGAUGAGGAAUAGAAACACUUUAAACCCUCUCAAGAAAGCAAUUAGGCUCGAAAUAGCUCACUAGGGUAGUCUCCACUAUUCUCCUUCAAGAAUCUGAGCAUGAUACUUUAGCCACCAGAAUUCUAAGAGCAAAAGCUUUGUGAAGUGUAAAAUUUCUGAUAUGAAAAUCUCAAUGGCAGCUCCAUAGCAUUGGUUGUAUGAAAUUUUUUUUAAAAUAAAAAAAAUAGUGACAAGCGAACGAAAAUUGUAAACACAAAUGAACAAAAAUUGAAAACCUCCCCCCAAGACCUGAAUUGAACAUUGUCCUCAAUGUUAAAGCAUAACAAAGAUGAGUGAGAACAUGUGAAUAAUAAGGGGAAAGUUUAAGACAAAGUAUUAGAGAAACUCCCUCUUGAUGCGAUUAGGUUGACCGCUACCAAGCACCUUAUUCUUCAACACAUGGGUUGCCUCCCAAGAAGCGCCUUAGUUAAUGUCUUGGCAAGACAUUAUGCCAUUAGCUAACUUGAUUGUACGAAGGGAAGAUGAUCCACCACAUGACCAGUUUGAAUUCCAACUGACACUCCCUCAUAGAAUGGCUUUAAACGUUGUCCAUUUACUUUGAAAGUCGAGCCAUCUUUAGGAUUUUGAAUCUCCACAGCUCCAUAGGGAGAUACAUUGACCACGGUGAAUGGGCCAAGCCACCUAGACUUCAAUUUUCCUGGAAAGAGACGCAAACGUGAGUUAAACAAAAGAACUGACAUACCUUUGGUGAAUUCUUUCCGUUGAAUGUUCCUGUCAUGGUAACUCUUGGUACGUUCUUUGUAUAGCUUUGCAUUCUCAUAGGACUCAUGUCGAAUUUCUUCCAAUUCAUUGAGCUGAAACUUUCUAACAUGGCCGGCCUUGUCCAGAUCAAAAUUCAACUUCUUGAUGGCCCAAAAAGCAUUGUGUUCAAGCUCCAUUGGCAAGUGACAGGCUUUCCCAAACACAAGACGAUAAGGGCUCAUUCCGAUGGGAGUCUUAUAUGCAGUCCUAUAAGCCCAGAAUGCAUCAUUGAGCUUGGCAGCCCAAUCUUUCCUUGUACUAUUCACCACCUUCUCUAGGAUCUGCUUAAUUUCUCUGUUGCUUAUUUCUACUUGACCAGAAGUUUGAGGAUGAUAUGGUGUAGAGACUCGGUGGGUGAUAUUGUACUUCUUCAUGAGUGCUUCAAAUAGCUUGUUGCAGAAGUGGCUGCCUCCAUCACUAAUGACAGCCCUUGGAGUACCAAACCUUGUGAAAAUAUUGUCCCUCAAGAACUUCAGGACCACCUUAUGAUCAUUGGUAUCAACAGCAACAAGUAUGUAGGUAUAACCAAAGGAAGAUGGGAAUGGUCCCAUGAAAUCAAUACCCCAUACAUCGAAGAGUUCCACAAAGAGUAUGUUCUUCAAUGGCAGUUCGUUCCUGCGGCUUAUGUUUCCCAUCCUUUGACACCUAUCACACUUAACACAAAAAUUAAAUGCAUCUUUGAAUAGAGUAGGCCAAAAGAAACCUGAUUGCAAAAUUUUAAGUGCUGUUUUCUUGGCUCCAAAGUGGCCUCCACAAGCCAAUUUGUGGCUAUGCCUAAGGAUGCUUUCUUGUUCUUCUUCUGGAACACAUCUUCUAAUGAGUUGAUCUGGGCAAUGCUUGAAUAAGAAAGGUUCAUCCCAGACAUAAUGUUUCACCAUGGAAAAGAAACCCAAUUCUGAAGUUGCUUGUGGUUUCCAAGGCUUCUCCACGUGCUUCUUCACGUCUAAUGCUACUCCAAGAACUUUCUCAUGUCUAGAGUAUGGCAACUAAAGAGGUGAUUUGGGAUGAGUUUGGGUGGUUGGUGAUGGCAGAGAAAGAACAAAUUCGUAGGAAAUGGAAGGAAGGCUUGUUGGAGUUCUUCCCCAUGAUUUUGGGCUGAAUCAAGUGAUAUAGGAUGGCUGGAGUGAAUUCUUAGUCAAUGGAGUGACUCCUUUGCACUUGAGUAGCUGACACACCUCCCUAAAUUGCUCAACAUGUCAGGUCUAAAGUCAAGGAAAGCUGUGGUGAGUCACAUGGCUCAAAGAAAGUAUCCAAGGCUCAACAACUGGAAACUGCAAUCCUGAGCCUGGUGUGUAUAUGGGCUCACGAAUUGGGCUCAACUUCAUUAUCUGAUGCAUUUGAGUAGUCCAUCUUGAAGUUCAGACUCUCAUCUUUCCAACUACAUAUUAUUUGGGCCAAUCCAAGUUCGGAGAAAGAUGUUAAGGCCGAAAUGAUUUGCUAACCCAGUCUGCUCGUUUUUGCACCAUUUUGCAUCUUUUCUUAUCCAAAGACACCAUUGCUACCUAAGGCCCAAUGAACUGAAUGAUAAACAGAAAAGGGAUUAAAAGCACACGUUUGACUCAAUAACAUAACCAAAUCAUAAGCUAGAAGGGUACAAAAUGAUAUACAAUUGUGAACUGAUCAAAU